AUACGGAGGGUGCAAGCGUUACUCGGAAUCACUGGGCGUAAAGCGCGCGCAGGCGGCUUGAUAAGUUGGAUGUGAAAGCCUACGGCUCAACCGUAGAACUGCAUCCAAAACUGUCAGACUAGAGUGUGGGAGAGGAAGAUGGAAUUAGUUGUGUAGGGGUAAAAUCCGUAGAGAUAACUAGGAAUACCAAAAGCGAAGGCAAUCUUCUGGAACACUACUGACGCUGAGGCGCGAAAGCGUGGGGAGCAAACAGGAUUAGAAACCCCAGUAGUCC
rnacentral:rRNA from 1 species